rnacentral:lncRNA from 1 species
AAAUAUCGUUGUGAAGACAAAGAUGGUAAAAUUCAAGGAAUAUAAGAAAAUGAAUUUAAGAAGAAAGAUUUUGACAUUGUUUUUCCAGUUGACCAGAAACUGACCACUAUUAACUCUACAAAAACAAUUCCAGUUAAUUAUGGAAGCUAUCUUAAGGUGGAGAAGGUCAUCCAUUUAUUCUGGAUCAGCCUUUUCUAAGUUCACAUUGAGCACUUACUAGGUAUCAGAACUUGUGCUAGGAAUUGUGGGUUUACAAAGAUAAAUAAAACAUGGUUCCUGCAUUUAAAUAGAAUCUCCAACUAGAGGGAAAUAGGCAUAUACAAUUAAGUGAAUAAAAUAAUACUACACUUAGGGUUUGAACAAUAUUGCCAUUGAGAACACAGCCAGUUAUUAGUUCUUCUUUUGUGGAAAUGUGGUAUGUUGCAAUAAUAUUUACAAAUUUAUCUCCUCCUCGUGUCUAUGUCCUUGUAAUUCAUGCAGAAGUGGAGUUUAUUUUUCUAUCCCUUUAAUUUGGGCUGGCUCUGUGACUUGCUUUGGCCAAUAGAAUGUAUCACCAAUGGCUACAGGAGUCAUUUUCACUUUCACUCUUGUUUUUGGAAUCUUGCUCUCACCAUGGGCACAAGCCUGGGAUAACCUUCUGGAACAUGAGAGUCCAUAUGGAACAGAGGCAAGCUCUUCCAGCUAAGGAUCCCCUAGAUUAGCCUGCCAAUAGCUAAACACAGAUACCCAAGAUAACACCUGACCUGGACUUCAAAGGGAGUGGUUUCUACAGAAAGAAAAGAAUGAGAAGAGCAGGAUGUUCCAGACAGAAGAGGAAGCAUAAACAAAGGCAUGUGGCUUUGUGUUCAUGGUGUUCUGGGAAUAACCAACAUUGUAGUUGGAGUCAUGAAGAAUUUAAACCAAGAACUACAGAAGGCUAAGGACAAGAUGGUGAAGGUGUCUUCCAACCUCUUCACUGAGGAAGCAAAGGAUUUUCAAGAGAUAAUUUUGAGCAUAUGCAAUCUUCUUUUUGGUCUAAUGGCUGAAACCUGGAUAACAUGUGCGUCCACCGUAUGGGGGACCAUAAGAACAAAAAGGACUCAUGUGAAGAUCAGGGUGUUCUAUUUUCCUUUAACAUUUCCUUAGAAAAUAGCCAAGUCUGAAUUACAGACAUCCGAGCACACUGUAAUGAAAGAUUUAUACUCUGCAACCAAGCAGUCACUUUGUAUAGCAAAUUAAUUCCUCCCUCCUGCAACUACUUUUAAGCAGAUGCUAGUUUUCGCUUUAAUUACAUAAACUACUACAAUUUUAGUGUUCAUCAAAAUAGCGCUAAUUGGUCAAAAGUUAAGAUAGACACAUUGCAGAAUAUUUGAAGAAUAUAUGCUUAAAGUAUUAAAAUUCUUGUUUUUAAUUUCUGACCUGAAUAUACAAAAAUAUUAGGGGCAUUCAGUUAAAGACUCAUAGAAAAUAUCUCAUACAUCCCAUGAACACUGUAUAUGUGGUCCCACUUCCUAUUUGAUUCAGAUUUAACUUGUUGACUACCUAUUACUUGACUAGCGCUUCUACAACAUUUGAACAAUACUCGGAAAAUAAAUGAAAUGUCACAUUAUAUUGGGAAUUUGUU